rnacentral:tRNA from 1 species
GCCCUAGUGGCACAAGGGUUUAGCACUCAGCAGCUAACUGAAAGUUGGCGGUUCAAAUCCGCCCAGUGGCU